UGCACAGACCCUCCUGACAGUGGACAAUAUUAUACAAGUGUCUGAUGUGAUGAGAGCACUGUGUCCACCAUUCACUGAGGAGGAGCAUGGAGAGGAGGAAACCAACCAGCUUCCUGAUGGAAUCUACUUUCUCUUCCUUCCUCCCCUGCAGGUCCAAGGGCUGUAUGAGGCAGAGCAGAGGGGGAAAGAGAGGGCAAGGACAUGAAGAAAGGAUGCUCCUCGGUUGUACACCGCUCUGCAUUCAUGACAGGUUCCAGCUUCCAGUCCAACCCUCAGCCCCAGGUUCACACCCACCAGCCCAAGCUUGCCCAGGUCUGCACUCCCUCUCCCCCUCUUUUCAAUAAACACUAGUUUCCUAUUAA